GAACGCACAUUGCGCCCGCUAGUAUUCUGGCGGGCAUGCCUGUUCGAGCGUCAUUUCAACCAUCAAGCUCCCGGCUUGCGUUGGAGCCCUGCGGCUGCCGCAGGCUCCCAAAUCCAGUGGCGGGCUCGUCGUCGUACCGAGUGCAGUAAACAUCCUCGCUCAGGGAACGCGGCGGGUUCUUGCCGUAAAACCCCCCCACAUCAAGGUUGACCUCGGAUCAGGUAGGAAUACCCGCUGAACUUAAG
rnacentral:misc_RNA from 1 species